UCCCACUGCCACACAGAGAGAACUCACAACACGUAAGUCAAUGCCCGGCACAUGGAGGCGAUGGAUAAAUGAUAAAGUCCUACUGAGGGGCAGCCCAGCACACCUCACAUACCGGGCACCCUAUACACAGACACACAGGUUCCAGUUAUGUGAUCAGCCACACAUAGGGCCACCAAGCUGCCCUGCCUUCUAUCUACCCAAAUGGUUUUCUCGGCACGCCUGAAGCAAGCAAGCAGGCUGGCCCCCCAGCACUGCAGCCCGGCCCCUUCCAGCCCUGGUUCAGCCUGGCAGAUGGAGGGUACUCACCCAGCGAAGUCCCUGGAUGCAGCUGGGCCGCCUGUGCUCGAACACCAGCUGGUAGGAGCAGCACCGGGGACGGUGCAUUCUCUUCAGCACCAUCUCGAGCAGCGUGCCCUCCGGGACCACGUCAGGGAGACUUGCCACCUGCGGUGUCCCCACCGCUGGACUCUCCACCACAGCUGGGCCCACCUGCCAGUGGUUCUCACCUGGCCAGCUGACCUGUGAUGUGAGGAGAAAAGUCGACAGCCGUCGGCUGGAGGAGCUGAACCUCCACACUACCAACCAACCCCAGGCUUAGCGUCCUCUGGACUUGGACGGGUCAGGCGGAGCUCACACAGCGGUGCACGCUCUAGCGAGAGGUUGUGGAGGAUCCCUGGCGCGCUCCAGCACAGCUCUGCCCGGGAAUCCUGGAGGGCUGUCGGUGCCACCCGGGCUGCAGCGAAGGGCCAGUUCCCAGCAGGACAGGUAGUCCGGAGUAGCAAGCUGCCGGGCUAGGCAGAGGGGCUCGUCCUGGGUGAGUAGAAGGCUGGGGGGGGAAGGGGUUGCUGGGGGGGAACCCCCACCCCUCCCCAAAGACUAAGAGCGUUGAGCCUCCGCCUCCGUCCCAGAUGUAAGAGCCAGCUGGCACAGGGCGUUCAAGCGAAGCUGCAGCUGGCACUGAUCCGGGCGGGAGCUGUCACACCCCCUGCGCUGCCCGCCCCUUCCCCUCCCCGGGACCAGCCGAGGGGGCGGGGAACAGGCACAGGCUUUACGGUAGGGGUGGACAUCGGGGAAGGGGCAGGACCCACAGCUGAUGGAGUCCCUACCCGAGACUAUGUCAGUGGGUUCAGGGCUCCGGACCCGAAACCGGGUGCCUUCGGGUGGAUGCCCCUGUCCUACGCAGCCCGGGUGCGGGGUUAGGGGCCCUGAAGGCUGCACCCGCCGCCACGUGGCGAGUAGGAGAAAUGCAAACAAGGAAACUAGGGAAGGGGGAGGGAGUGAGUCAUGGCCGCCCCACCCGAGAGGGAUAUCCGGGCUGGGGCUGCUUCCUGGCCAGGGGCGUCCGGCCUCCCGUUUGGGUUCAGGGUCUCCGGCAGCUCGGGGUUGGAACUAGGCAGCCUUCCUGUGGGGAAUCCCGCUGCCUGGCUUCCCACCUUUGCCCUCCCGAUCUUGCGGGAUGGGAAGUUGAGGCUGGAGGGGAGGGACCGCAUUCCAGAUGGAGAGAGGGUCGCGUAGAAGCACGCAUCGGCCAGGCUUUGGAUUUGUGGCAGGCUGGACUUUAGAGGGCCACGCCUCUCGCCCCCCAAGUGCUCCCCUAAGCCGGGCUAGGUAAAGGCAGAGGCCCCACGCCCCCUGGGGCUCACUUCCACCGACACACAGAUGGCGGGCACUUCGUCUCAUUCGCGCCUGCUUCCGAGUGGACAGAGAGUGUGACCUGGGACAGCGAUUUCCCUGGCGCCUGGUAAUUGUUCAGGACAUUAAUGAGGGGUUAGAAGAAGGCGCAGGUCCCGCCCCCCAGCGUUCUAGGACUCUGCCCCUCGCCCCUUCUCUUCUCCUUCCCCACUGCCAUUAAAUCUGGGGGAGGGGUGGGGGCUAAAUCCAGUAUUUCCACCCAGAACUGAUUUCUUGAUGUAAGAAUUUUAAUCGUCAUUAAAAACCUGAAUUUUAGAGCGUGUGCGUGUGUGUGUGUGUGUGUGUGUGUGUGUGUCUCAAUAGUUUUUCUCUCCCUGGGUAUAUUAGCAGGUACUUUUUAACUCCUCAAAUCCUGAGUCCAUCUUACUGGCAUGAAGCAGAAAAUCUGUACCUUGGACAAACAUUUUCAGGUCAUCUGUGGUGCCAACCCUUUAAGACACACUUGUGAAAAUUUCCCUGCUCCUCUGAGCAAAGAAGGGAACCUGGGAAGGAGUCCAGCCCACAACUCAAGUUUCUAGAACUUAGAGAACGGCUUGGCUACUUGGCUUUAAAAGAUAGGAAAUGAGUAGCAUUUCGGGGAAAGUGUUGGGGUUUGGGGGUUCGGUGGUGCCAUUCAGGAUGCCUAGAAGGUCUUGCAAAAGAGUUCCCUGAAACUGGAUGUGGAGUAGGAAAUUCCCUUUCCUAUUCCUGUUGCCCCGCUUAGGGCAGGAGGGAAUAGACGCUGAGAGAGGAGGAAAGACACUUGCUUACCUGUUGAUCUAACCAUGUGCCUGGCUCUGCUUCCUCUCCAGUGACAGCCCUGUCCAGGUUGUCUGGCUCUGCUUCACCGCCAGCAUGUCCUGCGUAUGCUCUCUCACCAUGUUGCCAUUCUCUAGACUGCAAUGCCAUGAGCAGAUGAGGAAACUGAGGCUCCAAGAUGUUAAAUAAUGUAUUCAAGGUCUUCUAACUGGAGAGCAAUGGAGCACUGAGUGAUUCUACCCAAGGGGUCACUGAAUCUGUGCAGUCUGACAGAGCUGAGAAUGCCCUGGGCCUUAUGGCUCUGGUGCUCAGAGAGGAACAGACAGAUGAUCUAGGCCUCUUGGCUGACUUUGCACACACUGAGCCCACAGCUUCCUGGAUUGGUGCUGGAGCCUCAAAACUCCACGUGUGCAACGCUCCCUUCCUGCCCCAGGGGGCUCCUCCCCCAGCUUGGGCCUCUCAGUUCUGGAGUCCUGCCACGCCUAAGCAAGAAACCUGUAAGCGUUUAAUUGCAAGUUAGGGAACUGGAGCACAGAGAGGUGAAGAAAUGUGCCCAAGGUUACCCUGAUGGCAAACGGUAGGGCCAUCCUUGGGGGUAUAAUGACAGGCAUGUUCCUGUCUAGUAUUUCUUCAACCGCCUCUCCCACCCCUGAUGGCUACCCCUGCCUCGCCUCCCUCAUCCUUCAGGGUGGUCCCUCAGGGUCAUUCAUAAAAAAUCUCCAAUCCAUUUGACAUUUACCGCAGUUGCCAGGAAUGGUGCUGUAAGACUGGGUAGCAGAUGCCACCCCCAAACACUGGGAACAGGCUGGUGGGCUAGCCAAGUUGAUAGAGCGCUUGCCCAGCAUGCACUGCACAAAGCUCUGGAAUCCAUCACCAGUACCGAAUACAUGAGUUGUGGUACAUGCCUGUAAUCCCAGCACUGGGGAAGUGGAGGAGGCAAGAGAAUAAAGAGUCCAAAGUUGUCAUCAGCUACCUAGCAAGUUCAAGGCCAGCCUGGACUACCAGAGACCCU